rnacentral:rRNA from 6 species
GUGGAUUUUUAGCCCUGGUGGGUAGCUUCCCGGAAACGAAAGUCUUCCGGUUCCGGGGGAAGUAUGGUUGCAAAGCUGAAACUUAAAGGAAUUGACGGAAGGGCACCACCAGGAGUGGAGCCUGCGGCUUAAUUUGACUCAACACGGGGAAACUCACCCGGCCCGGACACCGUAAGGAUUGACAGAUUGAUAGCUCUUUCAUGAUUCGGUGGUUGGUGGUGCAUGGCCGUUCUUAGUUCGUGGAUCGAUUUGUCUGGUUUAUUCCGAUAACGAGCGAGACUCUAGCCUACUAAAUAGUAACGAGAUUAUCAAUGUCUCAGUUGCUUCUUAGAGGGAUUUUCGGUGUUUAGCCGCACGAGAUUGAGCAAUAACAGGUCUGUGAUGCCCUUAGAUGUCCGGGGCUGCACGCGCGCUACACUGGCGAAAUCAGCGUGCUGUAUCCAUUCUCGAAAGGGAUUGGUAAACCCAUGAAAAUUUGCCGUGCUUGGGAUCGGAAAUUGCAAUUAUUUUCCGUGAACGAGGAAUUCCAAGUAAGUGCGAGUCAUCAACUCGCUCUGAUUACGUC